GCUGAGGUGUCCGAGUGGUUAAGGAGUUGGACUUGAAAUCCAAUGGGUAUUACCCGCGCAGGUUCGAAUCCUGUCCUCAGCG
rnacentral:tRNA from 2 species